AACCCGCCGACGACUUCUUCCUCCCCUCCCCUCCCCGCCCCUCCUCCCACCGAUCUCUCCUCCUCUCUCAUGGCGACGUCAACUUCGCGCGACCGCGGCGGCUACCCGCCGGACUCGACGCGGCUGCGCAUCGGCGACGACAUCGCCUGGGCGGACGUCGGCGGCGUCUACGACCGCGACGACUCCCUCAAGGAGAACACCAACCCCAAGUGCCUGCUCAAGGCCCACAACCCGAGCGCGCCCGGCCAGCACCACCACCACCACCACAACGGCGCCGCGUCGCAGCGCUUCUCCGGGAACCUGAAGCCCACGGCGGCGCCCAUCAUCGGCCUCUCCGGGAAGCUCGGCCAGGGCGGCGCGCGGCGGACCCACCAGCAGCACCCGCCCGCCAUGUUCCCCAAGAAGGCCAAGACCGGCGGCGGCGGCCGCAACCCGAGGCCCGCCGUCCCGGAGGACGAGCCCAGCUCCCCCAAGGUCUCGUGCAUCGGGAAGGUGCUCUCCGAGCGCGAGAGGGCGCGGCGCAGGCCUCGCCCGCCCCCCUCGGAGCGCCCUCCUUCCGGCUGCUGCCCUGGACUCGGCUUCCUCAUGCGCCGCAGCCGCUCGCGGAAGAGCGCCGUGGAGAGCGUCGACUGGUCCCCGCCUCCCCCGCCACCGGCAGCGAGGCGGAGGGAGGCGAAGGCGGCCGAGACGGAGGAGGCCGCGCCGGCGCCGGCGCCCGGGCUGGGAGGGGUCAUGCGGUUCGCGUCGGGGAGGCGGGCGGCGGAUUGGGCGGCCCAGAUGGAGGUGGACGACCGCGUGGCGAAAUCCGGGCCGUUGUAGCGCGGGCAGGAGAUUUAAUUUUGCUCUCGGGUUGGGUUUGGUUUGUGUCCGCUUCUGCUGCUUGUUGUUGCCGUGCUCUAGGCUUAGUAAACUUGUUUCUGUUUGUCUGUAUAUACUGAUAGUAUUAAUUAGGACAACACAUUUGUGGGAUCAUGAUAUGGAUUUGAAAAUCAGACAAAAUUUUGCUAGUUUCCUCAUCUGCUUUUGGCUCGUUUCUGAAUUGUUGCAAUUUCACAUGUUCUUGACAAUGCAGUCCUGACAUCCUGUGGAAAUUUGAUGAAAAUUUCAGAACUAAUCUUGACAACAUACCUUGCACCACCAUCUUCUUGCAGAAGAUCAGCAGCAUAGCUUGAGAGGAACGAUGUCGUCAUGGGCCAUGACCACAGCUCCAAAGGCAUUCCUCUUAUUCCAGCAAUGGACCACACGGAUUUGUUGUGCCGCAAGAGCGAGUAUAUGCCAUCAGGCUCAGUUAUCACAGAAGGGAUAAUCGCCAGCCCUGGAGUCACUGGAUUUAUUUUCCAAACUAAAUAGCAAUUGUAUGUGCUAUUCAUUCUGAUGCUGUUAACAAGGAUGGAAUAAGAAAACUGGGGAAUGUAUGUAUUCACUUGCAGUGUACCCAAUUUUAAUUUUGCGCUUCUGGUUCGUUGCAUCAAGAUAAGGAA
rnacentral:rRNA from 1 species